AAAUACGCAGCGGAAUAAAAUGGAAACACAAUCAAACAGAACACCAAGAUAUACGUGAAAAACCCCUUCAAUGUGAAGGGUAAAAUUCACGGGUCAAACUAGAGAUAAUCCACUAUGAGAAUAAUGAAUGUACAAAUCUCAAUCUCUUGCCCAAAACCCUAGCAACAACCACAAGAGAAUAACUGGGAUACAAGGAUCACGUCAC
rnacentral:lncRNA from 1 species